AACUCUACAAUGCAGGCAACUGCGAUAGGGGAACAUCGAGUGAUACUCAUCUUGGGUGUCUGUCCUCCCGUCUAAAAAACGGGAGUUAGCAAGGGCCGGGCAAGACCGGUGCCAGCCGCCGCGGUAAUACCGGCGGCUCGAGUGGUGGCCGAUAUUAUUGAGUCUAAAGGGUCCGUAGCCGGCUUUGCAAGUCUUUUGGGAAAUCCAGCGGCUUAACCGUUGGUCGUCCGGGAGAUACUACAUUGCUUGGGACUGGGAGAGGUAGGGGGUACUCAGGGGGUAGGAGUGAAAUCCUGUAAUCCUUUGGGGACCACCGGUGGCGAAGGCGUCCUACCAGAACAGGUCCGACGGUGAGGGACGAAAGCUAGGGGCACGAACCGGAUUAGAUACCCGGGUAGUCCUAGCCGUAAACGAUGCUCGCUAGGUGUCACAACAAUCGUGAAUUGUUGUGGUGCCGUAGGGAAGCCGUGAAGCGAGCCACUUGGGAAGUACGACCGCAAGGUUGAAACUUAA
rnacentral:rRNA from 1 species